rnacentral:rRNA from 1 species
UUCUGCCCUAUCAACUUGUUGGUAAGGUAGUGGCUUACCAAGGUGAUAACGGGUAACGGGGAAUCAGGGUUCGAUUCCGGAGAGGGAGCCUGAGAAACGGCUACCACAUCCAAGGAAGGCAGCAGGCGCGCAAAUUGCCCAAUCCCGACUCGGGGAGGCGGUGACGAGAAAUCCCAGGUCGUUCCCAAAAGGAUUCGACACUGGAAUGAGGGAAAUUUAAAAAUUUCUGCGAGUAACAACUGGAGGGCAAGUCUGGUGCCAGCAGCCGCGGUAAUUCCAGCUCCAGUAGUGUAUCUUAAAGUUGCUGCGGUUAAAACGCUCGUAGUUGGACAAGAGAGUAGCUUGGUGCGGGCGGGGAGCGUGUUUGCCGCGCAAGCUCGCGCCUUUUGUGCUGCCGGUGGUCGUCUCGUACGGACGCCGGUUGGUGCGAAGGUGCGGAUCGCUGUGGUAUCGCUCGUCGACCAUGCUGCCAGGCUACUUGUGAUAGUUCGUGAGAAUGGCGUAUGGCCUUGAUUGUGCUGUGCGUCGUGUCUUACGUAGCGUGCCUUGAAUAAAUCAGAGUGCUCAAAGCAAGCGCGACGCUUGAAUGUUAAUAGCAUGGAACGAAUGUCUUGUGAAAGUGGGUGUCGUGGGGCCUUCGGGUUUUGCGGCGCUCACAGCACCAACCGCGAAGCGGAACAUUGGUUGCCGCGUUCGGGUGAUGAUUAAGAGGGGCAUUUGGGGGCUUUGGUAUUUGUGCGCGAGAGGUGAAAUUCUUGGACCGCACAAGGACYAACAAGUGCGAAAGCAUUAGCCAAGUAUGUUCCCUUUAAUCAAGAACGAAAGUGAGAGGUUCGAAGACGAUCAGAUACCGUCCUAGUUCUCACCGUAAACGAUGCCGACCCGGGAUCAGUCCGGAUGAAUCUAUCUGGAUCCAGGUUGGUCCCCCUGGGAAACCUUGAGUCUUUAGGUUCCGGGGGGAGUAUGGUUGCAAGGCUGAAACUUAAAGGAAUUGACGGAAGGGCACCACCAGGAGUGGAGCCUGCGGCUUAAUUUGACUCAACACGGGAAAACUCACCUGGUCCGGACAUCGAUAGGAUUGACAGACUAAUAGAUCUUUCAUGAUACGGUGGGUGGUGGUGCAUGGCCGUUCUUAGCUCGUGAAGUGAUUUGUUUGGUUUACUCCCAUAACGGGCGAGACCACUGUCUUCAUUUCGGGAGUCGCACGGCAAACAGUUGCUCGUUCUCUUGGGUCUUUUCGGUUGUGGCGCGUUUCGGCGGGUCGCGACUGGAAGGGCUUUUGAGUUCGCAUUGAUUGCUUGGCCUUGCGGAGCACGCGCAGCAAUGCGCGCCCGAUGAAGAGACUGCCGGAGCACAAGCCGGAGGAAGUGUGGCAAUAACAGGUCUGUGAUGCCCUUCGAUGUUCAGGGCUGCACGCGCGCUACAAUGAUAACGACAGCGAGUUUCUGGGCUGAAAAGCUCUGGGUAAUCUUGACAAUCGUUAUCGUGAUGGGGAUUGAGCAUUGUAAUUAUUGCUCAUGAAAGAGGAAUUCCUUGUAGGUGCGACUCACUCAGGUCGCAUCGAAUAAGUCUCUGCCCUUUGUA